AAAGGGUCCGUAGGCGGUUUGGUAAGUCAGUGGUGAAAGCCCAUCGCUUAACGAUGGAACGGCCAUUGAUACUGCCAGACUUGAAUUACUAGGAAGUAACUAGAAUAUGUAGUGUAGCGGUGAAAUGCUUAGAUAUUACAUGGAAUACCAAUUGCGAAGGCAGGUUACUACUAGUGGAUUGACGCUGAUGGACGAAAGCGUGGGGAGCGAACAGGAUUAGAUACCCCGGU
rnacentral:rRNA from 1 species